UUGUUCCGUUUCAUUUCAUGAAAAGUACACACCCACAGUUUUAUAAGUUCUCUAGCAGACGGCUUAAGAUUGGAAGCAAUCCAGUCUGAAGCAGACUAGACAUGGGUUUGUUAACAAUAGCAGCCGCUGUAGCUGGUGCAGGCGGAGCAGUUGCUGCUGCGCCAUUCGUUCUCGGGGCUGCUGGUGUCACCGCAACAGGAGUUGCUAUGGGUUCUUUUGCCGCCACGUUCGGAAUUGGAGGAGGUGCCACUGGUAUCCCUGUAGCAGCUCAGGUUAUCGGUGCGGUGGGCGGUUUGGUUGCUCUGCUAUUUUGAAGUAUCAAAACCGAAGGCCCGCAUGUGAACCCAUACUGAACCAUGUAUAGCGCCUCCUACCUUUUUGAAAUGGAAUUUUGUAAGGGGCAGCUCCAAGUUGAAUAAUUAUAUGCCUAGGUGUUGUAUUAAGGCUACACUUGCUUUACGCCUGUUAAAUAAAGAGGAAAUAAAUAAAAGGU